UGCUCUGUGCUGUGGGAGUGUCACUAAUGUAUUUGCAUCUCUGAUUCCUACUCUAGGGAGAAGAGAGAGAGAGACGUUGGAGCAGAAAUGCUCAGUCGUUGCCUAUUAUUUUACAACUGCAUGAGGUGCAAGCUAUGUGGCUGCUGGUUUGCUUAAUUUCUGCUGUAGCUGCAGCCGUGAUGAUGUGAGCGAGUCGUUCCUGAAUUUCUCUCUCAACAUUGACUGAAGGCAAGAGGGGAACGCGUAAAAACAAAGAUUUAAAAGGGAGAGAGAGAGAGAAGGAAGCUCUCAGUGCGGAGCUCACAGAGCUAAAGCGAGGACCCAGCAAAUACCAGUCGCUCACAGGAGAACCCCGUGGAACACUCGGAUCAACGUUUGUGCGAUACCAUGCACUGACUCUCAUAGGUGAUGCCCCAGUUCACUUUUGCCUGCUUCUGUGGACUCCAUGGCUUUUGCAAUUCUAAGAAAAAGAAGGAAGAACAUGGCUCUGAACGGGAAACAUCCGUGUAAACAUGGGCUAAGGAUUAUGAAAUACUCAACAGGGCCCCCACUUACAAAGGGGACCAAGUGUAUCUCUUGGAAUCCAACAUGAGGCUCUUGCUUCAUAAUAAUGAACAAACCAUCAGGGGUAUGAGAUAGACUGCAUUUGACAUUGUCCUUCUAGAAAGAAAGACCACUGUUCUGCUGACCCGUUGGCGUGUGCAUUAAUGUCUGUUUUGCAUAAACAGCCUGUAGGAAAUAGGUUGUCACAAUUUAUGACAGGAAUACAUGGUUUAUGUGUCAACAAUUCCACUCAAAAGAAAAAUGCCACAAAUCAUGAAAAUCUUCUAGUAUCUACUGUCUUUGUACAGAUCCAUGUAUUUCAAGAUAUCAGCUUGGAGUAUCCAAAUAUUUUCCUGAAGAAUGCAACUUAAUCUGAAUAUUUAAUUUCAUUUGAUAUUUCUUAUGGAGAUGGAGAGUUGGUAAUGUUUUAAACACAGUUACAUUUUCUUAAAAAAAAAGUACUGGACAUAUUGGAAUUAUUUCCCAUGUUGGAAGGAAUGCAACUAUGCUUGCACUAGCAAUGCCCGAUUGCCAUUGAUUUAUAAAGGAAUAUUAGUUUUAUUACACCUUCUAAAAUUAAGAAUUGUGAUAUGUCUUGGUUAUAUCUUCUUCCUUGUUAUUAGCAAAGGAGGACUUGCACUGUAAUUCCUAUCGCAUGCAUUAUGCCCUGUCAUUCUCACUGGAAGAUAAAGUUGCCAAUUGUUGUUGGAUGUAUUCCUGGAGUUUCAUCAUGGCUCACAGGUCCAACAGACUAGUCAAAUGACCUUUUUCUCCUAGCUCUAAUAUUUUAUGCCUAAGAAGUGAAGAUGUUCAAAAAAAAGUUUUAUUUUUCUUUUUAAGCGCCUUUAUUAUUUUGUUGCAAUGUCGAGUGGAUUUUUUUAAUGGCUGGAGAGUUGGCAGCCUUAUUGGAAAUCUGCAGUGCAGACGUUACCAGAUUAUGCCAUUAAACACCAAUUAUUACUGUAGUGCAUUAAGGCUUUUGACACAAUCUUGGCAUUCAAAUGCUGUUUAUUAACUGCUUCAGCUUGAUCUCCCCAUGGAGUCACAAUGCAAUUGAGAAUCUCACCCUCAGGUUAAUGUCAUGAUUUUGCUACAUAGUCCUACCAAAACAUAUGAGCUGGGCACCAGGUUUGCUUUUAAUUUUAAACAGAUUAAUUGUGAUGGCAGUGACACCUUGGUUUUCCACAAUUACCUCAUCUUACUUUGCAACAUCUGGAUGUUUGAAUUGUAAAGAAAAAAAAAUUUAUUGCUGUGCAGCAGCUUUUAAAGCUGGCAAAGGGAUUCAGUAAGUACAGUAUUUGUCAGUUUCAGUGAAUACCAUUUGUUACUUUGGAACAGACUGUAAUCUCUGUUGUGCUUGCACUUUCCAUAUUCCAUGAGUUUGACAGGCUGAAGGGCAUUUCUGGUACCUGCAGAGCUGAAAAACUAGUCAAGCUGAACCAUAAAUGUAUUUUAAAAAAAGAAAAAUCAAGACUAUAUAUUUGCUUUUAAACCCUUCUUUGAUGGUAUGCUUUGCAGAACAUCUUUCUUAGUUGAAGUAGGUUGGUUUAGCUGAAGAAUGGCUUGUACAGGGCAUGAACAUUGAUACAGAGCAGUUGGGCUGAAUGGCCUAUUUCAAUAUUGUAAUUUAUAAUUACCUUGUCACAACUCAAAGUGUAAUCUGAGGAACACAGCUGCUUUUAAUAGCAUAUAGUAAGAAUUACUUAAAGUAAUCUCAUGUACUUCUCAUGUUUCUAUAUCUCUAAUUGUUUAAUUUAGUUGAUUAUAUUUGUAAACAUUUUCCCUUCCUUUCUAUUACAUUUUUUACCUCUCCAUCUUCAUUCCUGGAAGCAUUUGCUCAUCAUUAGGUACAGCUCCAUGGAGUCCAAGCAACCUUAAAUAACUCAAGUAUCCAUUCAUGAAGUGAAAAUCUGCGCAGUGAGUAAAACGAAAAUCUGCAAGUGCUGGAACUCUGAAAUAAAAGCAGAAACUGCCACAAAUUUACAUGACUCUGAAUCUAUGUAUUGGGUUUUGAACUUGUGAAUUCAGCUGAAAGAUCGUUUUCAGUUUUCAUCCUCUCUCUUGAAGCAGACUAACCUACUAUAUCUUUGCAGCAUUAUCUAGCACUGCUCAUAGACUGCUAAAAUUAGACGCAGUAAUUGUGAAUGGCCUGAAGCUGAGUCGAGAACUAUCUUCAACUUUAUGUCCAGUGACAUGAACUAGAGGACAUCAAGAGAAGGAUUAUUUAACAGUUUAAAAGAUUUAUUUAUGAAAGCUGACAAUGUUAUGUGCAUGUGGGACAGUUUUACAGCAAUAUCCUUGGGAUAUUGGGCAGAAUUAGCAAUACUAAUUGAAUUUUGCCUCUUUGGUUCAAGGAUACUGAGGCCAAUUAUGAUGUAUGAACCAAUGUUAGCUGAGAUCAAGCAGUUUUGUAAAUAUAACAAAACCUUUUCAACCACACCAGUUUUUGUUAAAUUCUGACUGAGAUGGUGUCCUGUCUGUCUGUCUUGACUCCUGUCCUCAUUUCUAAGGACAUGGACUUCCUUUGGAUUGGUCCACACUUGUGGGAAAAAUCCUAAAGUGAUUUUGUUUCAGAGAAUUUCCUACUGUUAAUACCUACAGCAGACACAUUCAAAUUUUUUAUAGACUGAGAAUUAAUCUAUUUGGCGAAUUCACAAAUGCAUCCUUCAUGGUCAACAAGUGGGACUUGAACCCAGAGUUUCUUGCCCACAGGUAGGGACAUUGUCACUGUGCACAAGAACUCCUAAUGUGGUGUUUCCAUAGUCUAAAACAUUUCAGACAUGUGACAUUGUAUGCUUGACAUUACAUAACACCAUUUGUUGCAGCAAGACAACCAGAAAUCAGAAACCAACUAAUUCAAAGGGCAGAUCCUUCUCCAUUCCUGCACGUCAUUUUCCCUGCACGUCAUUUUCAAUGCAGCGCUGUAGGGAGUUUAGGAGGCAGAGCCUUCCUGCUGGAUACAUGAUGCAGCGUGGUGUAUCCCAAGGGGAAGGAGACUAUUACAAAAAUGGUUACUAUCGAAUUCCAAUAUUUUCUAUGGAAAUGCUUAAAGAUAUUUCUUCAAUCAUUUGUUUUCUUUAAUUUAAUUUAUUCCUUAUUAGAAGCUAAUCAUUGAAUCGCUUAGCUCAAAAUGAGGUCAUUCAGCAAUUAAUUCUUGUGCCUGCUCCUUUGAAGAACAAUCCAAUUAGUCCCCAUUCCCUCUUCUCGUCCUGUAUCACUACAAGCUUUUCUCCUUGCAGUAUUUUUAGUUUAAUUCAAUUUGUUUUUGAAAAUUACUACAGAAAUUGCAUCAAUCAUCCAUUCAGGCUCAGGAUCCUCAUAACUCAUUAAAUAAGAUUCUUCCUCUCACCCAAACAGAUAUAUUUGUCAAAUUUUCAUAUGAAAUUUUUAAUAAAAUUAAGGCUGUUUUAAAUUCAUGGGAUGAGAAUAUCACUGGCUAGGUCAGCAUUUAUUGUCUAUGCGUAAUUGCCCUUGAACCAAUUAGCUUGUUAGAGCCAUUUCAGAGGGUGGUUAAGAGUCACCCGAUGUGCUGUGGGUCUGGGGUCACAUGUAGGCCAGACUCAGUAAAAACAAUAAAUUUUAGUCCUCAAAUGAGAACAAAGAACACUCCAGUACAGGAGCAGGCCCUUCAGCCCUCCAAACCUGCACCGAUCCAGAUCCUCUAUCUAAACCCGCUGCCUAUUUUCUAAGGAUCUGUACCCUCCUGCUCCCUGCCCAUUCUUUUAACUGUCCAGAUAGAUCUUAAAAGACACUAUCGUGCCCGCCUCUACAACCUCUGCUGGCAACGCAUUCCAGGCGUCCACCACCCUCUGCGCAAAGAACUCUCCACGCCUACUUCCCUUGAAGUUUUCCCCUCUCAUUUUGAACUCGUGACCCCUAGUCAUUGAGUCUCCCACUCUGGAUAAACGCUUCUUGCUAUCCAUCCUGUCUAUACCUCUCAUGAUUUUGUGGGCCUCAAUCAGAUUCCCCCUCUAUCUCUGUCUUUCUAAUGAAAGUAAUCCUAAUCUACUCAAAGUGGCACUCUAGAUGGAUUUUAAAUAACAUUCACAUGGCCACCAUUAAACUAGCUUUUAACAUCCUGUUUGGAUUCAAAUGAUGGUAGGAUUGAAAUCCACACCCCGCAGCAUUAGCCUGUGUUACCCGACUGCUAAUUUAAUAACAAUAUCACAAAUGCACUAUUUCCUCUUGAGUGAAUACGUGGAGAAGGCACAAAGUUGAAUUAAAUAUUUCAGUCCAAAUAAGCAAUAUUUAUUGCAAAGAAGAUGGGAUACAUUUUCCAAUGCCAUUGACAAUCAAAAAUGUAAUGUCUUUUCUUCUGCACACUCACAGUUGUGUUACAGUGACCACGUGUGUGGCCUUGGUACAUGGCUCCUAAGUUUCAUUAACUCACAAGCAGCUGCUUGCUGAUUAGAAAAUCACUAGCACUAUUAACUUCAAAAGAUAGAAAAUAGUGAGAUUUUCUAAUAAAGGUUCUGAGGCAUUUAGAAAAUGUGGACCUACAUUUUUCUCCAGAAAAAAAGAUUUAGAAUAAAGAUCAGGCAAAAGUCUAUCUUCUAAGGGAAAAAUAUUUCUUAUACUUGAAAGUAAUAUAUAGGAUCUCAUUCAAACCAGCACUGCACUCCAAAUAAAUAUCAACUUUCAUUGAAAACUAUUUACUUAAAGUUAUAGGGUAUCAUGAUUAUUUUUGAUUACUUUCAGGCACACACAUUAGGUUUCACUGUAAAUGGUCAAAAACUAACCAAGGCUUCUGGUCAUUAUGCUCACUGAUUCUUGUGGUCACGAAGACAAUUGCAUUUGAUACCCAAAAUCACACCAUUUACUUGUUUCCAAUACAUGCAGUUUCUACGGUCAGUACUUAGUUUCUAAUAUUGAUGUUGCAUGGUUGUCUUUCUAUAGCGUUCAUAAGAUUCAAAAACAGAUGUUUAUCCACACUUUAUAAUCAGGGGACAACAUCAUAAAAAGAUACAAGACCUGUAAUUACACAAGCAUAGCACAUCAUGAAUGGAAAUUUUAUCCAGUAAUCAUCUGCAGAUGUUUUUCUGAACUUAACUAUGAUAUUAACAUCACAGUUAUUAAUCAAAAAUUGUGAAAAUCAUCAUACCAGCAGGUAAGGAGACGAAGGAUCAACAAAUUUGCAGUUUCAGCUUUAACUGUGCCUUUCUCACUCGUAGAUACACAAGAUCACCAUCUGUAAUUUUGUUACUGUUGUGUGUUUAUAAUGAACCAGCCUGAACUGUGCUUGGAAUGUUCUGUGCAAUUUCAGUCAUUUCCCAUAAAUUAACCUGAAUUGGGAACAUUGUUUGAACUUCCAUGGUGUAUCCGUGGUUUGUGUUAGAAUCUUGUAAUACAUUCUUAAUUUGUGUUUUGGCCUACAGGAGGGGAGAUGGUGAAGUAGGGGCAUUGCUGCUAGACUAGUAAUCUAAGAUCACAGGUUCAAACCUCACCAUUGCAGCUGGUGGAAUUUAAGCUCAAUUAAUACAAUGUGGAAUUGUCUCCCUUGCCUUUGGUGGUCUGUAGUGUGUGCAGUUUCAUCAAUUGGAAACAUUGAUGACUUGCUGGUGGCAGAUUAAAGGUGAAAGUAGCGAAAGAAGUAUGGAUUUGAAAACUUGGGUAGGGUUGUGCAGUCUGUUCAACUGGCUUGUUAAAAUGUUGUGGGUGACCUAUACAACCUCCAACUGAUACUUCUAGCUAUUUCAGGAAGGAGAUCCCUGCUUCAGAAAUUCUACCAGUGUUAGUGCUUUGUAGUUGGGACUGUAGGUGGACCCAUGCACGAAGCCCCAUGGAUUUCUCGAUCCAGGUAAAUUCAAGGGCUUUGGGGCGGAGGUGCUUUAAGGACUGAGAAGGAUGGUGCAGUGAAUUUUAAAGAACAUUUAGAUGGGAAGGGAAGAGUGGUGCUAUCUUCUCAGUGAGUGUGCCCAAAAGGAUCAAAAGCAGAAAGCACUUCUCAAUGACAGCAAACCUCCUCAACACCCCCACCCCCCAACAACCAUUUUAGUUGCUUGAAAAGAAUUGUGAAUCCCAUCACAUCCAACUGCCCAUGUCAGCAGCAUUAUGACGUGGGCAGCAAUAAUGUUAGAAUUAAUUGACCAUUUGAAAGCCAACUUUUCUAUAUUGCAUGCCACGACCACCAACAGCUAAAACACACCCAGUGGCGGCAUUUAAUAUCUAGCCCUUAGUCUCAGUAAUGGUCCCUAUGAAACUUAGUACUGUAUUGUAAACAUCCAUUUGGUUCACUGAUGUCCCUCAGGUUUGCCUCCUCGCCUAGGUCUGGUCUACAUGUGACUCCAGAUUCUCAGCAUUGAGGUUGUUUCUUAACUGCCCAACAAAUCACUCAACUCAAGGAUAAUUGGGGUCCUGCCAGUGAUAGCUACACCCCAUGAAAAUAAUUAUUUUAAAUGAAAAUUUACAUCAGGAGCAAGAACUGAUUACUCUGGAGUGUAUAAUUAUGAUUUGUCCCGAUCCAGUCAUGUAAAAAUUAAUUUCUGUGUAAUAUGAAUACAUAUAUACACAUAUAGAUAGCCACUGUAGUCCAAACAAUUCUACUGCCCUAAUACACUUUUACAUGUGUAGCUGGCAUUUUAAUGCAGUAAAAAAUGGGAGGUUUGAUCAAUAAAAAUUGAAUCCCUAAGAACGUCAAAAUAGCUGCCAAACAGAAAUGCACUAUUGAUCGUGUAAAUGCUAGAAACUAAAGAUAGCUGAGAGAGGUUGUAUACAAUAUUUAUGCAGAUCAGCCUGCGCACCUAUGUUCCCAUGAUAGUUAUCAUACCUCUUGACCAGGAGGCCCAGGUUCAAGUCCCUGAACAGGUUGAUAAGAAAAAUAAUAUACAGAUUAGAAAAAUAAUAUACAGAGCACCCUCAGUGAAGCAGGAGUAGCACAGAUCCAGAGCUGCAACCUACUUGCAUCUACAAAUAAUGCUUGGGAGGUGUGCUUCAAUGGGGAAUGAUGGUUUAGUUUAGUCUGAAUGUAAAAGGUUAUUUAGCCAAUAUUGGUCAUCUAUUGAAAGUGUCCUCGAAGUUUUUCCAUUUCCACUGCUUAUUUGUUUCUGGGAUUGGAAGAUGUGGAUUGGUGGGGGCACUUUCGUUCAUGUUGUUGACAUGGAUUUUAGUCAAACAUUUGACAAGUCCCACAUGGCAGACUGGUCAGAAAAGUAAAUAAGCUGCAUCCAAAAUUGGCUCAGUAAGAGGAAACAAAGAUGUUCAACAAAAGCAAAAUACUGCAGACGAAAUCUGAAGUAAAAACAGAUAAUGUUGAGAUACCUCAAUAGGUCUGUGAGCAUCUGUGGUGAGAGAAACAUAGUUAACAUUGCAAGACUUCUUCGAAACUGAAGAACACUGAAGUGCUUUUUUUAAUGCUGUUGACAAAGGAGGUGGAGAAACGAGUGGAACAGAUGGCAAGGAUGCACAGAGUAAAAGUCAAAAAGAGAGAUGUGCAAUAGUAUUAGUGGUAGGAUUGAAUAGGAGGAAAUGGGGGUAAUCAAAAUGGAGGCCAGUGUUCGUGCUCUGGAGUUAUUUAACUCAACAUUGAAUCCUGAAGGCUGUAAAGUGCCUAAGCAGAAAAUGAGGUCAGUAAGGUGACUCAGUGGUUAACA